GCUUAAGGAGAUAACGUGUAUCAUAGCCAGAGGUGUGUGGGGUCGUAUUGGUUCCUCAUACUAAAACGUAUAAAUAUCUCGUGAUUUCAAAUUUUAUUGUCUUUAAAUAUAUAUUUGAUAUUAUGCAUUAUUUAUUUGAAAAAAUGGAUUUCUGUAAAUUUAAGUUAUUUGUGAAGAUAUUACCCUGUGCUUUAUCAUGCUCGCAAAUUUUACGCUUGGAACAAGUACCAACUAUGAAGUUCUUAAUUAGACGCUGUGGAAAGAUUAAUAAUUGUACUUUCAAUCUAUUUUCCAAAGGAGAAAGCCAAAGAAGAAAUUUAGUCAAUGCUCACCGAGAUAUAGUGCCCGACAUCUUCCAAUCAUAGCAACCGCCAUUAGCAUCGUCUCUUAUUUUUUCCAAUCAUAGUCAAUGGAUUGUAGGAAUGAAAAGAUUAACCUCUAAGUGAAACUUCAUGUAUAGGGGAAUAUCUGACUGUUUUGCUAGCAAUACAAAAUAAAAAACAAUUGGUUGCGGCCAGAUUAUCUUUGCAUUUUGUCCCUUGGUAAGUGUUUAGUUGUAAAACAAGACAUAUUGUACUAAUGUUGGAAUCUUAUUGAGUUUGUGUAAGUGUGACUAAAUAUAAUGUAUAUUGAUGAUAUCUUGGCAAUGAAUACUCUUUCUCAACUCUUUUUGAUGCUCCUUUUGUUCCCAUCAUGAUUCUGUUGUUUGGUGAUUUCUCAAAUCAUUUUCUUGGUUUUGUUCUUGUUCUAGCUUUUAUUUGUUUAAGCUAUCAUGGGACAUCUUUUUUUAUUUUAACCCUUUUGAUCAUUUUUUCCUCAUGCUAGAUGGCUACCAAAGCACAUAGAAAUAUGGUAAUUUCUUCCUGACAAAGAAGAAAAUGGUUGACUUAAGAUAUGCAUGUUAGUAACUGUACUUCUUACUACAAUUUAAUUUGUUUGAUUGAAGCGUUUAUAAGGUUCCUAAGCAAGACACAGAGAGCAUCAUCCAGAAAGCUAAUUCUUUUGACUUUUGAAUCUUUGAAUACCUGUGCAUCAUGGCUAUGGUAAAAACUGGGUUCUAAAUUUCUUUUUUGCUUUUCAAAAUAGAAGAAAAUUGUGCCCAAGAUAAAGGUGCAAAGGUGCAACGGUUUAUGCAUAGGCGGUCUACUAUGAGAGAGAGGUAAACAAGAUUAAAGUGAUAAAUUAAAGUGAUAUUUUGGCCUCAAAUGCCAUUUUGAAAGACUGGAAGCAUAUGCAGUUUUUCACUCCCGAUUGUGUUUGAGUCUUGUAUCUCUUACUAUUUACAUUAAAAAAAGGAGCCUUCAUGGGUGUUAGUAGUUGAGAGAA